CAGUAGCCGCGGUAAUACCAGCAGCCCAAGUGGUGGUCGCGAUUAUUGGGCCUAAAGCGCUCGUAGCCGGGCCGGUAAGUCCCUUGUGAAAUCGGACGGCCUAACCGUUCGGCGUGCAAGGGAUACUGUCGGUCUUGAGGCCGGGAGACGUCCGAGGUACUCCGGGGGUAGCGGUGAAAUGUUCUGAUCCUCGGGGGACCACCGGUGGCGAAGGCGUUCGACGAGAACGGGCCUGACGGUGAGGGGCGAAGGCUAGGGGAGCAAACGGGAUUAGAUACCCCUGUAGUCCCUGUCUCUUAUU
rnacentral:rRNA from 1 species